GUUGGCUAGCGUUUUCGCUGAAGCAAAAAAAACCCUAGAAUUGGAGGUGGGUCGGGAGACAAGAAUGGAGGCGGUAAAGCGCGGCCGGUGGAUGGAUCGCCUUCUAUUUUUGAUAUGGAUCGUCUCUUUACUCCUCAUCUCUUGUUUCUCUCUCUCACAGUGUGACCGCGGUGUCGUCCGGGGGUCACCCGGGUUGACAGAAGAGAGUGAGCACACAGCGGCGACCGCACCGCCUCGAUGCCGUCGCUGCUGCGUGCUCACUACUCUCUCUGUCAUCUCCACCUCCCCGGCGGUGCGCGGUGGGUGAGUUGGGCAGAUGUAGAUGCUACUCUCCCCUUCGGUUUACUCCCGACUGCGGCUGGGCAAAACCCAACGGGCGAUAGGAAAGAGGCGAGGGUGAGGAUGCUUUCCAUGUAUGGAUUAUUGCAUCGAUGGAGGGGCGGACACGCGUGCGCUGCUCUCUCUCUUACUCAUCUCGUGUCGGCCAUCUGUUCCGCCGAGACGUCUCUUCCCUUGUGGGUUUGUUUCGAGGUGCGGAGAUGUAGCAGCGUAGGGUCUAUCAUUUCAUGGCAGUAGUUUGUUCCGCUCUCCUCCCGAUUUCAUCUUUGAUGCGCCGAAAAAAUUGGAGUGGCAACUCGACGAAUCGAGAGGGUGAAGAAAUCAGAUAACAAAAGAAAAUAAAAGAGAAGGGGGGUUAGGGAAAUAACAGGAUAACUACUGCGUGACUUUUGAGGCGCAGUUGUUCAUCCGGCAGCGAGAUAGGAUGAGGGCAGGGUUACACGUCUUGUUCCUGUCUGUAUCUUCCUCUUCCUCUUGUGCUGCUGGACGGUCUUCUUCUUCUUCGAUCCGUCCUCUCCUCCUCCUCCUCCUCCUCCUCACUUUUUUCUUAUUGUUUGCUCUCCAUAUCGUCAAGGAGCUGAUCUUGGAUGAUGUUUCUUGGAUGAGAAAUCGCUUCCUUUCGCCAGUUACAGCAGAUUCUUUGGAUUGCUUCCUUUUUUUUCCCUCAUUUUCUGUAUUCUUCUUUUUUUCCGGUUCAUGGAUCUGUUGCUGCUUCUUUCUAUUCUCUUAUCCUUCGAUUGCUAUAUGCAGUUAUUCGUUGCUUCGCGCAUGCUAUCGGAUUUGUUGGAUCAGUAAUUCGGACUUCGUUCUGUGUUCGCCGUUCUUAAUCAUUUCUUAGAGGUAAAACACGCUCAGGUUCUCGACAAGGAGGCUUUUAUUCCUUGUCACCGAUAGUUACUGGCAUUUGAGUAAUUUAUGCUCCUUCCCGAUUAAGCAGUGCAUGUAUGGACAUUGUGUGUCGAUUGAUUGAUGUAUGUUAGACAUUUAAAUUCACGACUUCUGUAAUAGCGGUGUCAAACGUUCUUGUUAUGAGAUUGAUUGCAUAUGAUUUAAGAAGAAAGAUCUUGGACUUGCGUUUUCUUUCGUAUGAGUUCUAAUAAGCACCGAGGACUAGCCACUUAUUUGAUAUCGUUUCCUGAAUCUUGUUGACAAAUAUGAAUUGUUAGGUAUUACAAAGAGAUCGACACUCGGUAUUGUUUAUUAUGUGGAAAAUUCAACUUUGCUAUCUGAGUAUUGGAUAUUAUGGUGGGAUGGCAUGCUGUCUCGUUCAAUGACCGUGUGGAGUAAUCAAAGAUUUAGUUGAUUUUUGUUUUCGGUUAACUAAGAUGUGUCGACAUGAUGAUUUUUCUUUCGGUAUAAGAUGAUUCUAGAAGAGACAUUGUGUUUCUGAGAUUACGAGAAUACAACGCAUCACUGCUUUUUUCUUUAGCCCACCUUGAGAUUAUGAGAAUACAAACCAUGAUGAAUUGGCAAGGAAUCAGGAGGGAAAAUUUUGUUGGUUCUAAUUUCCCUUUUUUUUAUUGUGCAAUAGGAAAUAAUGUGGUCGUUCCCAGUUGAAAUAAUGACAUGGGUACGUCUUUAAGCUUUCUCUGUCCGAAGACAAAUGAAUCCAGGAGAACAAGCCUGGAACGUUAUUUUGUGUAAAUUAUGGUAAGAGCUUAGACGAUGGAAGAUGGUAUCUAAGCUAGAAGUCUUUUUCUUGGCUUAAAUUCAUAAUGAAGGCUUCAACAUGGUGACAAGCACCACUUUGCUUUGACAUUUUGACCCAAGCCAUUCCGUUUUUCGUUCUUCCUUAGCCAUUAAUACCAUCUCCCCGUGGGGAAAAAAUUUCUACAAUGUUUAUUUCUAUCAGAGAAUCAUUUAUCAUGUCAUGUUUAUUGUGCCUUUAGUUUGUUUUGUGGAUUUAGUGACCAUAUACGCGUCACAUCCUAUCCUUCACUUUGUCAGUAGUACCAGAAGGUACAUAACUCCUCUCUGAACUAAGAAUAAUUGAAUGGCUCUGCUACAAGGAGAAAAACAAAGUGCAUCUUGUUGUCAUGCUGAGCCCCAAUACAAGAUUUAGAAGAGUGGUCUAGAGUGGCUCCAGUUAACUUAGUAAGAUCACUAUACUUUCCUGACUUUGUGUUCUUUCAUUUUGAAAUAGUGUUCCAUGUUUAAUCAUCUUAUUUUUGUUCUUAAUAAUCUUUAGGCAGAUGCUCCAUUGAUUUUGCUGGAUGAUCUUAGUUGUUAUUUGUGAAUCUUCUGCUUAAACCAUAGCACCUUAUCUCCACUUUGUCCAAUUUGCUUUGGGUUCAGCUAACUCUUACUAGUUUUUUUUUUCUUUUUUGUCAGCAAUGACCCCUAUCCGGUUCGUGCGUCGUACAUGGGUCAGGAAAGCUUCUGUAACGUAGAGUUUUUUACUGUUAGGAUAAUGGGACAUCAGCAUAUUUAUGAUUCAUAGAGUACUCUUCAUUUAAUAUGGUUACAUUGCAAAUAAAAAUAUUCUAUUGAUGCCAGAUGCAGUAGGGAUCUAAGUACUAUAUAGAAUGUCACCUAUACUCUUUUGGGUGUGCUUUGUUUAAGGUGAUGUUUUUUAUUGUCGAGUUGAAACACAUGGAAAAACUAAUAAACAUGUACUUAAUAGUAUAUUUCUGUAUUCUGUUAAUUAUCUGGCUUUAGGGUGGCAUCCUCUUUGUCAACCUACUUUAUAUUUAAUCUUCUCUUUUGCUACCUGAGGUCUAUGGGCUGGUAUGGAGGCAAAUACUAUUCUUCUGGAUAACUCGGUAGAUUAGUAAUGUUUUUCCAAGUACCUUUGCUGGAUAAAAAAUCUAUAGGAACUUGUGUUGUCAUAUUGAUUCAUAUUGACCUUUGAUCCGUUGGACCAUCCCAAGUAGGCUUUCUUUUGAAUCUUUUCAUCUGUUCACUGAUGGUGAUAUCCCUGACUAAUGUUCUUUGGCAAGGAGUGGAAGACCCCAGGUUAUUUCAUGAGUGUGGAAAUACAACAUGGAGGGGGGAGGGAGAGAAUGACAUACAUACAUACAAUGGCAUGUUGCAGUAUAAGCAGGCAAGCAAGCAGAAGAGAAGACACCAUUUAAUGGGCAUACUUAAACAAGUCCCAGCAAACCUUAGAAUAAGUUCUAGCAUGUCCAACACCUUGUUCAGAAAAUUUAAUGGGAUAUAUAAUCCCUAGCCAUGAAUUCGAAAUCUAGAACUGGUAAACAAUCCAUAGCAAUCUUCACCAGCUCAAAUCUCCUACACUUGGUGACUAGGAUUGACCUGUGAUUCUUUCUUGGUUGACUCUGGUUGACAGUUUGUUUUAAUGUAUAAUAUGCAAAAAAGGCUUGAUCUUGAGAAGCAAUGAUUUGUGUUAACAUGUCCUCUUCUCUUAAACACUCAUAAGAUUAGUUACAAUAAAAUUUUCUGUCAGCUGUGUCAUUCUUUGUCAUCGGAGAAGGAUGAAUCUUAUUUAAUUGUUCGAAAACACGAUGAACACUGAAAUUUUUUGUUGUUGGAUAUCCAACAAAAUGAACUUAGAGAUCUUUGGAACAUGCUUCACAAAUAAGUUGUAUGGACCUUUCAAAUUUAUGCUUCACAAAUUUGUUGGAAUGGAUUUGUCUUUUAGUAAGUUACAUUAAGUUGUAGGAUCAGAAAUUUAGCUAAAACCUAAAGCGAUCUUUGUUUAUUACAAGUCAAAUUAAGGUGCAUGCAUGUUAGUGUUUCAAGGAAGGUGUGAGCGACCAAGAUACAUAGAGAAGAGCAUAAGUUUUGAUGCUUAAAUAGAUUAACUCUAUAAGGUGAAUAUAGCAAAAGGUGAUAAUUUGAUCGAUAAAUGUACUACCAUGUCCAUGUAUUCUGUAAAACACUUCCUGAGUACAAGAAACCCAACAAUUUUGAAGGAGAGUAUGAAACACAUGCUCAAGAUAGAUGCCCUAGGAAGAGAUGUAACUAGCAAUAUGUUUGAAAGGAUUUCAAAGACCCAAAAGUUGAAAUAUGUGACAUAUGUUGCUGCUGAUUUACAUAGGUUGGUGAACAGAAGAUUCAAAACUGGUUCUGGAAUGGGAGGGUGCAGAUGGCCGUAAAUAUUUGGUUUAGGGAAGUGAACAUCCCCCCCUCUAAAAAAACGAGAAUUGAUAAAUAAUAUUGUGAUGUCCAUAAAUUUUGUUAAGCACUUUUUAAGUAUUAGACACACUGGAAUGAUAAAAGAUGAAACUACACAAAAUAAGAUGAAUUCGAAAGAGAAUAAAUUAUAAGGAAAAUGUUAAGAAUAAAUUCUAGAGGCACGUAUCAUGACCCCAACCUUCGUAUAUGCAUCACCAAGAUCAAUAUGUGAAUAAAUGUCAAAUUUUGUAUGUUUAAAAUGAAUAUGUGAAUAAACUAAUUAACAUUUUUUUUAUGAAGUAUCCAAUGGGUGUCUUAAGUAGGUUUUUUGAUGACAUAGUUUGGAUGUUUAUGUUCAUCUGCAAGAUCAAUAUAGAUGCAAAUAGUCUCUUUGUUGAGCAAAGACAUUUCUUUUCCUUCCAUAUAGAGGAUGCUGGUAAGAAGAAGACUAAACUUUAACUCCAAGUAACUUAAAAAUACUUGAGCUCUGUUUCCCUCUUUUCUGCCCCUUGUAACUAAUUUUAAAUUAUUGUUUUCUCUAUUUGAGCAAUAUGAAUUGCUCGGUUAAUCUAUUUGAGCAAUAUGACUAAACUUAUUAUCAUACCUCAACUUAUGCUUUCUCUGAAUGUGAAUCUUUGAUGUAUACACUUAAUUUCCAUUUUUAAUUUUCAAUUAAUGAAUAUGAGUUUGAUGUUCUCUAUGUUAUGAAUGGGAGGCCCAAUUUUUAACUAUUCUAGAUUAAACGUAUGGAUAUGUUAGGUAUCAACUUCCACAUGGUAUAUAUGAAACAGAAAUUUGAUUGCAAUCUAAAAGAGUCUACAGGACGGUCUUGUAUAGUUAGCUGGUCUAAACAGAAAAGCAUUCUUCUGAAAAGAGAAGUAUGUUGCAGCUUCCGUGUUCAUCCUUCUAUUUACUCACGCGGUAGUUAGAUCUUUCUCCUAACUCCACAGAUUUCAUUUUAUGUUUUAUGUUUACCAAGCUGUUAGAUUUUUUUUUUUUUGUUUAUCUAUGUAAUAUAUGGUGACGGGGAGUAUAAGUUCGUUUUAGAUGUAUUAGUUGUAGUACUGUGUUGUUAGACUUGUAUAAGGACAGGAUACACUUCUAGCAUCAAACAAGGUUUAGGGCUGAGCAACAUCAUAGUACUCUUUUUAAUUACAUUUUCUGAUCAUGUGAACUCCCUGAUUUUUAGUAAUAGCAAUAUUAGAAGAAUCUGAGAGUUACUAUGAUCACUACAUAAGCAUUUCUAUUAAUCUCCAGAUUGAUUUUGUGGCACAAAAAACUGACUACUUAAUAGUUCUUUUUAGGUAACUGUUGUAUUUUGGUAAUGUAGUAUUUAACAAAUGUAAACAGUAAGCUGGACAAAAUAACCUAUGGUCCAUUUGAUCAAAGCAGUGAUUUCAAUAGGCACUCGGGCUAAGCGAGGUGAGGCUCGAGCGUCACGCUUCAUUUCUAGACGGUGUGCUUCAAAGAGGCGCCACUUGGGCGCUCGCUCAAGCCUAGGUGUCGGGCAUUUUGAGCGAGCGCUCGAGUUAAAUCAGACGAUUGAACCAACGUUUUGGGUUUGGUUCGAUCUCCAGUGGUUUAAUUGGUUCAAUCGAACCAACUAAAGCACCGAUAUCAACUUUCCUCUUGUGACUUCUCCAAUCCUAACCCUGCUCGUGAUUUUGUCGUCGAGAUUUCUUCUCCGUUGUCGCUGCUUGUCGUUGCUGUCAUUGCUCGCCAUUGUUGUCAUUGCUCGUCGCUGCUGUCACUACUCGUUGCUAUCGCUCCCACUAUCGCUGCUCGCUACUCCCGCUGCUGAUACCGCUCAUCGCUCCCACUGCCACUGCUCCCACUCCUGUUGUCGUUGUCGUCGCUCCCACUGUCGCUACUGCUGCUCUUAGUCAGCAGUCUCGGUCUUCCUUUUUGUCACAUUUUUCUCACUUCGAUAAUAUAUUAUUAAUAGUAUUUUAACAAUAUAUUGUUAAUUGUAUAUUAGUAAUAGUAUUUUUAUUUAUUAAAUUAAUAAUAUAUUAUUUUGAUUUUGAUACUGUUAAUUUUUAUUUAUUUGAAAUUAUUGUUAUAUUUCAGGAUAAAUGACAAGUGUAUAGAGCAACUUAAUAGAUUCUCUAAUGACAUUAAAAUAAAAUUCUGCAUGGAAGUAUAACUAUCUAAAGGAUUCAAAAGAUCCUAAUGCAAUAAUUUGUAUGUUCUACGAUAAAACUAUUAGAGGCAGUAUUUUUUGUGCAAAACAAAAUCUAGUAGUAAAUUUUAAAAAUGCUGCAGUAAAAAGUGUCCACUUGAGGUAAAAGAAGAGUUGUUGAGUUAUAUGAAUGAAAAAAAAAAGAUGCAAAAGAAUGAAUCUUACGAAAAUUUACCAGAAGAUAAUGUUAAACAUCUCAAGAUGAUGAAGAAGAUUAUUCUAUGAGUAUUAACCCAAGUGGGAAAAAAAUAUACAACAAAAAAGGAAAAUAAGUUAUGAGUACUAAGAAGGGUAUAAAAGGAUCAUUAGAUCUAUAUUUGUUUCAAGGAUCACAGAAGCAAUAAGAGUAAACAAGAGGCUCAAAAUUUAGACAAACAAAUAUAUGUGAUGCUUGUGAUAAAGAAAUAAGAGGAAGAACAAUUCAGCACAUUACUCACUUCUUCUAUCAAGCUAGUCUUCCUCUUAAUACAACUCGUUUAGAUAGUUUUAAGGAAAUAAUUGAAGCUAUUGGAAGAUAUGGUACAUGAUUAAAACCUCCAAGUUAUUAUAAGAUACGAGUUUCACUGUUGCAAAAGGAGUUGAAUUAUACAAAUGACUUACUAAAGAGUCAUAAAGAAUCAUGGGCAAUACAUGGUUAUUCUAUUAUAUCAGAUGCUUGGAUUGAAAGGAGACGCAACAGUAUAAUUAAUUUUAUGGUUAAUUAUUCUUUAGGGAUUAUAUUUGUGAAAAUGCUUCAUCUUUUGUAAAAUCUAGAGACAAGAUAUAUAAUUUAUUUGUCAGAAAUUGGAGAACAAAAUAUCGUUCGAAGUCAUAACCGAUAAUAGAAGCAACUAUGUAUUAGUUGGUAAUAUUCAUCUUUUAAUUUUUUUUAAUUAUUUUAUUUUCAAUUACAUGUGUUAAAAUCUUAAGUCUUAUUAUUUUUAUUAUUAUUUGUCUUAGGUAAAUUACUUGAAAUAAAAAGAAAGCAUUUAUAUUGGACUCUUGACAUAUUAUAUUGAUUUAAUGCUAGAGGAUAUUGGAAAGAUUCUAUACAUCAAGAAAAUUUUAGAAAGGAUAAUUGUAGUUAUUGGAUUUCUUUAUAAUAAUAUUGGGACUUUGAAUAUGAUGGGAGAAUUCAUAUACAAUAAAGAAUCAGUGAGAUAUGGUAUCACCCGAUUUACUACUUCAUUCUUGACAUUACAGAGCGUGCAUCGUCAAAACAUACUCUGAGAAAUAUGUUUACCUUUGAGAAAUGGGGGAUAAGCAGAUGAGCAAAAGAAGCAAAAGGCAAGAGGGCUACUGAUAUCAUCUUAAUAUCAUCCUUUUGAAAUCAUAUAAUUUAUAUAUUAAAAGUAAUGGAUCCUCUUAUUCGAGUUCUUUGGUUGGUGGAUCAUGAAAAUAAGUAUGCAAUAGGAUAUAUUUAUGAGACUAUGGAUAGAGCGAAGGAGACGAUUAAAAUGUCUUUUAAUGAAAAUGAAGAAAAAUAUGAGAAAAUUUUUACAAUCAUUAACAAAAGAUGGAAUUGUCAACUUCAUCGUCCCUUAUAUGUAGUAGAAUAUUAUUUGAACACUGAAUUUUUUUAUAAGAUUAAAUUUGUUGGGUUUGAUGUAGAAGUUUUGGAUGGGUUAUAUCAAUACGUUACAAGAUUAGUUUCAAGCCUCGAGGUACAAGAUAAGAUUAUUUAUGAAUGAUCUCUAUAUAAAAAUGCUGAAGGAUUUUUUGGAAUUCUUCGAUCCAAGACAAUUACGUCUUCAAGUAUUAAUUAUUUGACAUAAUUAAUUUCAUCUAUAGUAUAUUACUAUGUUGUUACUAGUAAUAACAUAAAUUUUAUAACUGAAUGAUGAAAUCUAUUUAAAAAUUUCACCCCAAACUUGUAAUAAUUUGUUAUCAAAGUACUUAGUUUGAUUGUGGUGCUUCGGGUUAUAAGCGAAACUAGAGUGUCUUUGAGCAUGUAAGCAUCACUAAAUAUUUUUUAUUUUAAUUAAUUUAUUUAUUUAGAUAGAUAUAUUAAUAUAUUUUUAAAUUAUAUGACAUGACAUAUUCACUCACGGAGAAAAAAUCGGUUGGAACAUCAACGAUUAUAUGAUCUUGUUUAUAUAAAGUAUAAACAAGCUUUAAAGGUUUGUCAUGAUUUACGAAAUAGAAUUGAUCCAAUUUUAUUACAAGAUAUUGAUGAUUCAAACGAGUGAUUGGUGAGAGAAAUGAGUGACAACUUGCAAGAUGCCGAAGACGAGCUUGUAUUUGAAUAUGAUAGAUUGACAUGGUGAGAUGUGACAAGAGUUUCAGAUGCUGGAGAAUUACAAACAUAUGUAAGACAGAUAACAAAGAGAAAAAUAAGUGUAAAAGCAUUAAACUCAGCUCUUACUAUUGUUGAAGAUAUAAAUAAUGAAAUAUAUUUUAAUGAAGAGGAAAGACAAGAGGAAGAUGACAAAUUCAAUAAAGAUGAUUUGUAUGAAAAUGAUAAUAAUAUUGAUUAUCAUGAAUGACUUUGAUGUAAAAUUUUAUUAUUUUGAUUUUUGAGAUUUUUUUUUGUUAAUAUGACAUUAUGAUUUUGUACCUUGGAUCUUCUUAAUUUAAUAAUAUAUUUUUAUUUAAAUAAUUAUAUUUAUUAAUUAUAUUUUUUUUUUAUUUUAGCGUCUUGUUUCGCUCGGGCGAGCGUCUAGCGUCUCGAGUAUUUUUAGACCUUAACGUCUUUCGACGUCUAACGUUUUUUAAAUCACAAGAUCAAAAUGAAAUUUCAUACUUAAAAGUUCUUUUAAAGCAUCUAGUGGGUAGAUGGUAUUUCACUGAAACAAUAUUUACUUGUCCCAAUAGUUUUAGAAUUUUUAAAUUAAUCCAUGUUCUAAAUCUCAUGCUUAGUCGAGUACCGAUAACAUUUAAACAUUACGAAGGAAUAGCAUAGCACGACACUCUUUUUUAUACUUAUGUUGUCAAUAGCGAGAUUCUUUUUGGACUCUAGGCUCUAGCUUCACUAUUGUGUGCUUGCCAAACGAGUUGGUAAGUCAAUCUAAUGAUUUUUUCCUAGGCUCUAGUGACGUCUUGCUUUCUUCUCUUUUACAUGUUGUUGUGACUCGAAUUUGUAUUUUCUAUGGGGGCCUCUCUAAUCAAUUACUUUCUCUUUCACAUUUUUUGUUUUAAUUCAUUCAUGAUUUUCGUUUGAGUUGUCGAAUCACUUUGUUUGUUCUAGUAAAAUUGUAUACUUCCAGCAUUGAUAGAUCAGAGAAAACUGGUUCCUUAAAUCUCAAUUUGAACAGCACUGGAAAACCAAGUGUAUCAUUGAGUUCUUUUAUGAAUUUAUUUUUGCCUAAUUUACCGGUUCUCUAAAGUAACAAAUAAAAUUACUCCAGUGCUUUGACAAACCCUUCAUAGUGUCUAAUUUAGUUUGUUGCAUAGAAAUUUCAUUAGUCAAAGAGGCAGUAUUUUUCAGCUGGCUUUUCUUUCAAGAAAUCCCACUGAGAACCCCCUUUUCCUUUAAGGUUCUUUAAUUUCGAUCAGAAAAUUUAUAACUCAAUAUUUGUACCAGUGAUUUAAAAAGCGUUAGGCGUCAAAAGGCAAAACGCCCGAGGCGCUGGGCGCUCGCCCAUGCGCUUGCCCGAGCGAAGCGAGGCGUUAAAAUAUAAAAAUAUAUAAUAUAAUUAAUAAAUAUAAUUAUUUAAAAUUUUAAAUAAAAAUAUACUAUUAAAUUAAGAAAAUCUAUUAAUAGUAUUAAAAAUUAAUCAUUUCAAAUAAACUUAAUAUUAACAGUAUACUAUAUACUGAGCCUGCUGAUUGAGAAACGAGGAAGCAACGGCGAGCGGCGGUAGAGGCGAGCGACGACAGUGGCAGCGGCAGUGGCGAGCGGAGAGCAACGGCAGCAGCAGCAGCGGGAGGCGCAAGAGGCGACAGUGACAGCGGCGAGCAGCGGCAGCGGGAGCAGGAGCAGCGAGCAACGGGAGGCGCGAGCGACGACAGAGGCAACGUUUGCGAGCAACGACAGCGGCGAGCAGCGGGAGGCGCGAGCGGCGAUAGAGGCAGCGUUUGCGAGCAGCGAUAGCGGCGAGCGGCGACAGCGGUAGCGUUUGCCAGCAGCGACAACGGCGAGCAGCGAGAUCGAGAUCGGGAUCGGGAGUGGCAGCGGGUUAGGGUUGGGUAAGGGUUAGGGUUGGGUAAGGGUUAUAUCGGUUUAGUUGGUUCGAUUGAACCAACUAACCAACCGAACCAUACCUAAAAUCCUGGUUCGGUCGCCUUGGUUUACCCAGGCGCUCGCCCGAAGCGCCCAGCGCCUGGGCUCGGGCGAGUGCCCAACGGCGCCUAUUUGAAGCGCGGCGCCUGGGAGAUUAGCGAGGCGGUCGGGCCUCGCCUCACCUCGCCUCGCCUCGCCCGAGCGCCUAGGCGAGCGUCCGAGUGCCUUUUUCAAUCACUGGUCUGUACAUAAUAUAUUAUUCUCUUAUUAUCUAAUCAUCCAUCAUCUCUUUUCAUUUCAGUUUUGUUGACCAAACAGAUAUAUAAUGUCCUCUGGAAUGCUAUAUCUUAUUGAUUAAUGGCUUUCUUGAAUUAAUGACUAACACAAGUACAUCUCUACUGGUUUUCAGUUGAGAACCGACGCAUAUGACAAUUGAAGGGUCUCUAUUUUCGUCUUGCUUUUCUUUGAUAUUUGAAAGGAGAUUCUCCAAAAUUUUUCAAAUAGCAAAUAAUAAAUGUACUGCAAUUAGCACAGCAAGAAUGACAAACCACAUAUCUUUUGUUUAUGAUUUCUAACCAAAUCUACUUCAGGUUUCAUGGCCCCAUCUAGUGUGGACUCGCCCUGCCUCACAGGAGCAUUUGCAGGAGGAAUCUCCCCUCUUUCUAGAGGAAAAAAGGUAAAAGAAGUUGUUGGAGAACAGCCAGAGUUGCACUUGAGCUGCUGGAAGUAGCUGAGCCGGCUUAAGUUAGGAGUUGCAUACCAUCCACCACUUCUAAGCAACAGUCUGCUGUCAAAGAUUUUAGAUUUUGAUAGUAUCCGACCAUCCGCCUUCUCUCAGGAGCUUCGAAGUAGCUGGAAAGAAGGGAACGAGAUUGACAGAAAGGCUUUAAAGCAGGAAAAAGGUUUCGAAGAUGAGUACUUUUUGGUGGGAUUUUGGUUCCCAUUUUCAGGAAAAAGGAAAAAGGUUUCGAAGCAGAGAGAACUCAAUGGUUGACAUUUCUGCUGCAAUUGCAUCCACUGGCAAUGAAGGCACUGUUCAAGAACCUUCUCCGAGGCACAUGUCUUUUGGUGGCCAAUCCUUCGGAAGUGACCUUCCUAAGCCUGUCAAUGGAUCCGAUCUAACAUGAUCUGACUUUAGAUUUAGAUCCAAUUUUCCAUAUUAAACAGGCAAUAACCACAGGGAGUUGUUCAACCUCCUGAAGACAUCAUGAGUUUUAGCCAUGCCUUGAGUCUGUUCUCUCUGCUGUGUCAUCAGUUUUGAUAGCUCUCAUACACCUUGAGGCCAAGGAAAUAAAUCUUCUUCCCAUACACGUCGCAAGAUUGUGUCCCGGAAGGCCAUGCAAAAAUCUUAAUUUUCGGUGGAAGGUGGAGACUUCAUGUCCAUUUGUGAACCUGUUUGAACUGUAUGAUCUUGAUGGCCACCCACGGUAGAUUUCCCCUUGCUAUGGAGUCAAUGUGCUCUUGUUUAUUAUCGUUUGAUCCCUGAGAUCUGACGUCGAGAUGGAGAUAUAUGAACCGGCCUAGCCCUCGGAGAUUGAUAGGAAAUCUAGAAGGGCUGCAGAGGAUUUGCAUCUCACCAAGAAGGCAUCUCGAAGGGCAGCAUUUUUUAUAAUGGAAGAUGUUUGAAGCUCACCCACCCAAGAUCACAGGCCGCUUUCCCAUCUGACUGAACCUGCUCACCCGACUGCAUUAACGGCUCCCUCCUUUCCCUGGCGAAGCAAUCGGGAGUGCAGCGUGUGGAUUAGGUGAUAGAUAUGGCGCCUUCUUGAUGUCUCUGUUCCCAGAACAGACGUAAGCCUUAGGGCUAGCUCACGUACUACUCUUUUAAGAUGACACAAUUAAAACUACAUCGGAGUGUUAUAGAAGCAUCAGCGGACAUCAUCGGAACAAGCACAAUCCUCGUUAGAUGGUCAACUAGAGAGAAUGCUACACUUGUACGAAGGUCCCAUAGUUCAUAAACGCAGCAGUGUACUAAUGCCACGCCUAUCACCUGUAUACAUGCAGGAGCAGGAGGAGAUCAUAGCUUCUGGUAUUGAGGUGGCAUGACCGGGAGAUGGCCCUUCUCCUGGAGGCUCUUCACGGUGUCGUACAGGCUCUGGCUCACCGGCUUACACUGCAGGCCGAGGUCCCUGAGCUGCUGGUCAGAGAAAUUGUACGGCUUCUUCCGUGGAUUCACCUCGUCGGAGCACCUGCCGCCGCCACCAUCAUCAUCCCAAGGAUGCAUCAGUAUUCUGCUUCGUGUUGUACCAUAUGUAUGUAUUACUGUAUGUUUCUGAAGUAUUAUUAAUAUGAGAGCUUCGAGCCUCCCUUCCACGCUUUA